GCUCCAGUGGUGUAGACCGGUCAAGCAUGGGGGACUUUCAAUCCUCCGACCCGGGUUCAAAUCCCGGCUGGAGCA
rnacentral:tRNA from 1 species